AUGUUUGUUACCACUUAAUGUGUCAUUAAUUAAAUCGAUACCAGAAUAUACAUUAUUUGA
rnacentral:antisense_RNA from 1 species